GGCUGCACGAAGCUGGAAUCGCUAGUAAUCGCGGAUCAGAAUGCCGCGGUGAGUACGUUCCCGGGUCUUGUACACACCGCCCGUCACACCAUGGGAGCUGGAAAUGCCCGAAGUCAGUGACCCAACCUUAGGGAGGGAGCUGUCGAAGGUGGAGCCGGUAACUGGGGUGAAGUCGUAACAAGGUACC
rnacentral:rRNA from 1 species